UGGCUCCAACAUCCCAGGGAAUUGUGCCAUUCCCAUUGGGCAGCUGUGGUGAUGGCGUCUCCCACAUAGCCCAGCUCUAGUACUGUGUCAAAGGUCGCACAGCCCAGACAAAAGCAGGACACAGCAGUGUGUCAAUGAGCCGGGCUUUCUCCUUCCUUCCACAUAAUAAAAGGUGCCUGAGGUUGUUGAAAUACAGUCCAUUUCUCCUGGGAAUGACAAGAAUUUGAGGGAUGCUGACUUUCAAGGAAUACUGCGUGACUGGCAUCAAGAUAAACCUGAUGAAGAAAACAUAGGCCAGAAUCUGGGAAUCGGGAGCAAAAUGAUUCAGCUCUGGGGACAGGCACGUAAUGAGGUCAUGAGGUAGGAGACUCCCUGCAUGACUGGUGGCCCCUGUUCCCUGGGCUGUUCUGGCUCUUUCAGACCCUGACCCUGGAACAGGACUGAGCAGGUGUCUGUGUGUGCAGAAGCUCUUGUGUGAGAGACCUUUGGUACCAUGUUUGCCACACGAAUGUCUGAGAUGUCUCACAGUCGCUUGGUUCAGCCUCUCCCUCCUCUCUCUGCUGGGGCACAUCAUCCUUCAUCACUGGAAGAAAUUACAAGGAUUGUGUAAACAAUUACAAGUAUUCUACAAACAAUGA
rnacentral:lncRNA from 1 species